rnacentral:rRNA from 1 species
UACGUAGGGGGCGAGCGUUGUCCGGAUUCAUUGGGCGUAAAGAGCUCGUAGGCGGCUUGGCAAGUCGGGUGUGAAAACUCCAGGCUCAACCUGGAGAUGCCACCCGAUACUGCUAUGGCUUGAGUUCGGUAGGGGACCACGGAAUUCCUGGUGUAGCGGUGAAAUGCGCAGAUAUCAGGAGGAACACCGGUGGCGAAGGCGGUGGUCUGGGCCGACACUGACGCUGAGGAGCGAAAGCCAGGGGAGCAAACGGG